GAUUUAAUACCUAAAUUACAUGGUUUUGAACUUAUUUUUCUUAGCUAGUUUAUUUGAGCAAAUUUUAUAAAUUGUGUACUCCAUGAAAUAACAAUGAAAGUUAGACCUAUUUGUUAAAUAUUUGUGAAUCUAUUUAAUGGCAUUCCCAACGUCCGGUCUUACUAGGGGACAGCUUAAUGGCUAGCAAGGGUGUUUGAGGUUGGUUUGUGUUUUGGGAUAAUGCGUAGACGUCUGGCUUAUCCACUACCGGGGACGCCUGGAAUUAAAGAGUUUGAUGGCGUGGCACUUGUGCUGUGGGGUCAAAUCAUAUGAUUAUUUCAUGGAUAGGAGUUGUAUUCUGAUUACUUGUUAAAUUAUGUAAUCAUUGUAAGGGGCUUGCUAAACCUUAUUAUUAAGCACAGCUCUGAGGUGUAGUUUGGGGAUCUUAGCUCUUUUGAAGUGUAAGUUGUCGUUUGUUAGAUUGCAUAGGAUAAGCUUCCGUGGGUUACGCACUCUUGUCCCUUCUUAUUAUGUGAUUAUGAGAAGUUUUAUGUUA